GGGCGGUUAACUCAGUGGCCAGAGUAUCUCGUUUACAUCGAGAGAGUCAGAGGUUCAAAUCCUCUACCGCCCA
rnacentral:tRNA from 1 species